rnacentral:snRNA from 1 species
GGCUCAGGCAAAUUGGCUAGACAGGUGUCCCCUUCCUCCCUUACCGCACCAUGUGCGUCCCUCCCAAAGCUGCGCACUCGGUUGAAGAGGACAGCCAUCUCCGCUAGAGGAGGACCAUUCUUCAGUCAAGGGCAUACGAGUAGCUGCACUCCCCUGCUAGAACCUCCAAACAAGCUCUCAAAUCCUAAUUUCAAUAGCACACAAUACUUUGUAACCACAUAGUUCCCAUCUUUAUGCUGUUAUUCACCAGCAUGGUUCAAUAAUUA